UACGAGGGGGGCAAGCGUUGUUCGGAUUUAUUGGGCGUAAAGAGCGUGUAGGCGGCCAGACAGGUCCGUUGUGAAAACUCGAGGCUCAACCUCGAGAUGUCGAUGGAAACCGUCUGGCUAGAGUCCGGAAGAGGAGUGUGGAAUUCCUGGUGUAGCGGUGAAAUGCGCAGAUAUCAGGAAGAACACCUAUGGCGAAGGCAGCACUCUGGGACGGUACUGACGCUGAGACGCGAAAGCGUGGGGAGCGAACAGG
rnacentral:rRNA from 1 species